CUCUAUGAUCACCCGUCCGAUACUUGUCUGAGAGACACAAUCCUACCCUUAGGAAUGUGACAGUAAUAAUGGGAACCUUUACAAAAGAAUUUGCCUUUCACUGGAGAUCCCACUUCUUACAUACAGGGACCAGUGUUCCAAAAGCAUUAUUCAAUAUUACAACCAGCCAACCAAUAUGUGUGCUCAGAAUGAAUCACACCCAUCUUAACUGUCUCUUUUUGGCAGUCAGAAAGGGAUCAUGCUCUCCUCGAACUCCUCCUUGCUCUUUUUUGACGAACAUUAAAGCACAGCUUAUUUAGAAGAUCUGGUAUCAUAUUACAACAAGCAACUUAGGUAGCUUUCUUAUUCCUUGUGGUGGUGAGUUCUUUCUUAAUGACAUAUCAAUUAAUUAAUUCACUAACUUCUUCCAUUGUCUCUUAGUCAGGUUUCUUUCAGUUGACAACGACACAAACAUAAAUCCAGCUCUCGUUAGGAACAAAGGGAUUGUUACUAUUUUUGUUAUAACUGCACAAGCAAAAUUCAGGUGUAAGAUUCAGAAUUCCGGCAAUGUAACCAAGCCUCCCUUUCUCUUGAUCUCUUGCCACGUGGGGAAGAAUGCACUGUGUUGUUUAUUUUCACACUACUGCCACACUUAGAAUGCUUCUGGCACCAGAUGUGUGGGUUUGUUUCCACAAUGACCAGUUCUCCAGCACCUGCUGGGUGUUCUAGCAUCAGUUCAGUUCUGACGCUAUCUACCAGGAGUUAGUUACCACAACCCACAAGUUAAGGGCUCAGGCUCACAAGACUGCCUCCCCUUCAGGUGCCAAUUGCAAGCCCCAGGUUGUCACCUGUACUUCUGACUGACUAGCUCUCAGUGUUUCCAGGACCGUUUCCUUGGGUUUGAUAAUUUGCUAGAACAACUCACAGAAUUCAAGGAAUCAUCUACUUACAGUUACCAACUUAUUAUGUAAUAAAGGAUACGAUCAAAGGGAUAAAGAUGAACAGCCAGAUGAAGAGAUACAAAGGGUGAUGGCCAGAAGGGACCUCAGCACAGAAACUCCUAUCCCCAUGGAGUCGGGAUGCACUGCCCUCCUGGAACAUAGAUGUGUUUCCCAAAAUUCUUUAGAAAAUUUUACAGCAGCUUUAAUCAUGUAGACAUGAUUGAUUAUGAACUCAUUUUUCAGGCUCUCUCCCUCUCUGGAGACUGGGGAGAUGGGGCUGAUAGUUCCAAAUUUCUAAUUAUGGCUUGGUCUUUCUGGUGAUUGCCAACCAUCCAGAAGCCCACCAAGAAUCACCUCAUUAAAACAAGAGAUGCUCUUAGCACUCAGGAAAUUACAGGGCUUUUAGGAGUUCUGUGUGAGGAACCAAAGUCACAGAUCAAAUAUUAGCAGGAACGAGAGGCAGAGACCAAAAUGUACAUCUUCACACGGAAAGUGUAAAGACAGCACCUCCUUCUGGAAGUCUCAGGGGAGGAUUACAGUGGCCACUUAGACCUGUGUUUAAUUAAAACCCUGCCCCUCGGUUGGCCGCUAUGAAGAUGAGUUAAUAGAUCACUUUAACAGAAAGACUGGGUGUUUCAGUCAGCUGUUUCUGCACCUGGGGUGUAGCCACAGUGAGUCCUCAUGUGACAUUUAAGAACUGGUUCUCAGGUCACUAUAGCCUUGUGGGUCUUGUGAACAGAAGCCCUGUUGACAUUCAAAGCUAGACGCUUUGGGAGCCAUCUCUCAGGUGCUGGUCUCGGAAGUUGAGCUGCCAGAUUCAGGGUUCAAACCUUGGCUCCUCAGGAGAGGUUGUAAGUCACCUCUUGACUGUGAGUCGCUGUGCCAGGGGUAGGGUUCAGGAUGAGAUUGUGUCUUGGUCUCUCUCACCCAUUUUCGUGUGUUUUUCUUCCUGUUCAUCCAAUGCGUGGGAGUUGCUUGGCUAGUUUCAAAGUUUCUUUCAUAUGUGGCUGAAGAUUUGGUGUGUCCAUGGGAGAAGGAAGGAAGGUCAACAGCUGAAGUGAAGACAGGGAGGAGGCACUGGGUGAAUGAGGACAGCGGGGUUUGAAACAGUCCUCUGGAAGCGUGGGAGAGUGAGUGGAUCAGGGAAACCUGCAUGGCCCCUGAGCUGCAGGGACCCAUUUGAAAGCGGGGCAUGUGCAUUUAAAGUUGUUUGCUUUUUCUCCCAGCCAUGUUCAGCUGAGUGGAGGAGCAGAAUCAUCGGAGAGCUGAAUUUAGCCAGGAUGGGGGUUUGGCCAGUCUAAUAUGAUAAAUGAAAGACAUGCAGGGGACGGAGGGUGUACACAAGGGAUACCAAUGGUUUUAUAUUGUAGAUUUGUUUUCGUUCGAAUCAAUUCCCUCAUCUGACUUUAACUUUUCUACUGAAGUUACCACCUCUCAUUCAUCCAACUGUGGAACCCCAGAGCAUGAUCCUUGCUCCUCAUGCAUGGAAGGGAGGGAGCAGGGUAAGGGGGGAAAAGAGUCUAGUGUCAGAAUAUGGAGGCUCUAGAAAUCUGAGCUAGAGAACACUGUUCUUAAUAAAUUCUCCAUCCAGGAGAACCAGGAGGAAGCAGCAUGGUCUUUCCUGACCUAACCUCAGAAAUCUGAGUUGAACAAUGACCUGUUUUUGUAAAUAACUUGCACUGGGACACAGUUACAUCCAUGUUUUUACAUGUUGUCUGUGGCUGUUUUUGCAUUUUGACAGCAGAGUUGAAUGGUUGGGCAGAAACUGUAUACCCUGCAAAACCUAAAAUUGUCUGGCCCUUUAGGGGGAAAAGUUUGCUAAACUCUAACCUAAAACUCAAAAGAGCAUCCUAAGUGGGAGCUUUCAAACUGAUCAGUCUUGGGCUUUGUUGCAUAAAUGAACCUUGUCAUGCAAACCUCCAGUAUUUAUAGAGCAGUACCUACCAAGGGAUCAGGUUCCUCAGGGAGAUUAUAGGGCCUUUCUUACCCCUCAUUUCCUAACUCCAGAGACGGUCCCUAAGACGAGACACAACACAUGAACUGCACCCAGAUUUAAGCAUUAAUUUUGGGAUGUUUGCCAGACCAGAUGGUUAGAAAAGCUAAGUACUAUUGAUUUAUUUCUUAUCCUUUAUGAGGCAACAUUAGAGACAAUGGACCUUAUCAGAACAAAUGAGAAUAAACAACAGAAUGCAGAUCAGAGGAGAAUUAAGAACAAAUGCUACUGGAUUUUAUUAGGCUAUAAUUAAUUUUGUAUGUAGAAAAGCACUAAUUAUUAGUUAAUUGUUGACCUCACCAACAGAGCUUUAUCUCAUGGCAGCUGGGCAAGGAUGGACUUCUCUGUUUCAUGAAUGUCACUCUCUCCCGUAUAGUACUGUGACCAUAAUCUCCAGUACCCUGGGAAUGCUUUCCUGCAAAUGCAAUUAAUCAUCCAUCAAAUGCCUUUGAGCACUUAGUAGACAUUAGAGGCUUGGGGAAACAGAUUAACAAGACCUGAUUCCCGCCAACAAUGUUGCAGUCCAGUGGUGAUUUGCACCCAGAACUGCAAUGAUUGUUCUUAACAUGGUUUUGGAUCACAGACCUUUAUGAGAUUGUGAUCAAAACUACAAACCUUAUUUUUAGAAAAACAGAUGUGCAAAGGCACAUCUAAACAGAAUUUUACAUGUAAUUUCAAGAGACACUAUAUUUCCUGAAGGUCAUUUAUGAAAGUCUGUGUGGGAGCUUACUCCCUUUUUAAAAUCCUUGUGGUACAGAGCACGGGCACAACUGAGAGAGAGAGAGCUGGUGUGUGUGCGCUCACACAUACAUGCAAGUGUCUUAGUUUCUUAAGGAACUUAAGAUGGAAAAAUAUUUUCUAGCUGGGAGGAAUGGCUUAUGCAAAAGUAAUGAGACAUGUUAAAUCGGGGGAAUUCAGGAAGUCAAAGCAGUUUGGUUGGACACAUUCCGAGGGCAGAUGACUAACGCCUUGGGAGAAGAGGCUGAAAAAAGACUGAAGACUGAGUCACACCUAGUAUAUUGUAUGAGUAGAUCUGUCACUCUUCCUUGAAGGACUGCAUGUCCCUAAGGGGGGCACACACUAUGGGACAUGCAGCUUAUCGCAGGACACAUAUUUGUUUGCCUCUACCUGGUUGUUUAUUGCUGAUUUUCUCUUUUCUUGAUUUUUUCCUUUAUUUUUUUUUAAAUUUAGGCAUAUGCUAGUGAACAAGGAUCUUUAUAUAUACUAUAUCAUAGGAUCUAAUUAAAUGUUGUAGCAAUCACACUAGCUUUUAUUAUUUACUAUUUAUUUAUUAUUUUAUUUUAUUAUUUAUUAUUAUUUAUUUAGCUUUUAUUUUACCUAUUUUACCCACAAGAAAACAGAUCCAGAGAGGUAACUUACGUGGUCAAGCCCACAGAGCUAAACACAGCAGAGCUGGUAACUGGACACCCUUUUUCCUAAUUUCAGGUUUUAUACUUUUUCCUUUGGGCUUAAGACACUGAGCCAAGUAAGUUUUGUUGUGAAGGAUAAUUGAUCAUUUCUGGCUAAUGUAGAAUACCCGCUUGUAAGUCAGGUUAUUAAAUAUGACCAUACUUUUUGUUUAGUAUUUUAUGUAGUAAUUUUAUUUAGGCCAAGAAUGUUGGAGUGAAUAGGUCUUAUUUCUAUUUUUCAGUUGAUGUUUCACUCUUACCUACUGUGACUUUGGUCUUUAUUUUGUUAAAGAGAAAGUUGCAGGAAGGCUUACAGCUGGGGUUGAACUGACCAAGCUAGACAGACUAGGAAAGGCCUGAAAGGGCUAAGAUCUGGGUUAGAAAGCCCUGGGAAUUCCUCCAAAACACAAACUCCAAGCAACAGACAAAAUGGCUGCACAUCAUAAGGAGAAUUACAUGUUAAGAAGUUUUUUAGAAAGUGUUUUCAGCCUUCUUCAGGGGUGGCGAAAAUACCUAAUUACAAAACCACAAAGCAGAGAGAGAAAUGUUGGCUGAAGGAGGGGAGAAACUCUGUGUAUUCACAAGUAGAGUCCAGUGUCAAAUGUGGCUUGACUUCCAUUAGCUUUGUUUUUUGACAUAAUAGAUUUUUCUAGAAAGCCUUCCCCAAAAUUAAACCCAAUUAACACACAAAUUCCUAUUGAGAUUUAGAAGCCAAUCAAAGACAAAUUCUGAGAUGACACGCUGAGAAGGAAGGGACAGUGCCCAAGUCGAUCCUGGUCGUAGUAAGAUUCAGGGAGACCAAACUUGGGCGUGGCACUCGGACAUCAGACAAGCGCAGUUUUAGGAUACUCAAUAUCCAACAGAAAAAGAAAAGAUGAUAGUGGUUGAAGAUGUCAAAGCGAGGAGGCUUCAGUAGAUUAACCUGGCAUGUUUCGUAGUUGUGCUGAGAGUCGGCUCUGAAUACAAUACAAUAAGAUCCAUCACUUGGUGAAAUAAUGUGUAAUGAGACAUUGAAUCACAGCCACAAGAAAGGGAAAAAACAGUGUCAAAGGCCCCUCCCAGUGUUGCAUAAAUGACAGGGAAACAUAUUUGGAACAGGAUACGUUGAGCACUGUUUGUCUGUGUGUCCCCACCAGAAGAACAACCUCUAAACCCGUUGACCCAGUCAAGUCAUUUUCUGUGGAAGUUUCUGUGACCUUUCCCACAGGCUUUCCCCUCCGCUGGAUCCCAAGCUCGGUGCCACUUCACAGCUUGCAUCAUCUCCUCGGAACCCGGCCAAGGGGAGAGAGAACAGCUGGGAAGGGAUGAUUGUAAAAAGCCCCCAGGAUUCUACAGAGGGUCCAGAAACCCCCUUCACCAAGUAAACUUAAGGAGCCCGAGGGCACUUUCGCCAAGCACAGCAGUAGUGUGAGGAGAGAGACACAAAAUGCGAGCUGAUUGGUGUGACCACGGUGCAGGGCAGACUUUUGUAACCAGGCUGAAAGUCCUGUCUAUUUCGUAGCAUUUGUUAAUAUGACCACAGACACGUUGACUAAAUCCUAGGAACAGCUGCUCUUGAUUCAACAACAAGGCAUUAAGUCCCACAGCAAAUACAUGAAGUCCCGCUCUAUUUUCAUAACUGAAAUACAUAUUUUAAAGACCCUUUCAGUUAUUCAGUGUCACUGCACACAUUAUGACUCAUUUUAAAAAGACUCUCAGUUUCCACAAUGACUCUUAGUAGACUGUCCACAGAUCAUAACAUGAACUGAAGUUAUUUCAAGAGAAUAUAGUUCUUAUUUAAUCUUAUCUCAUUCCUCUAAAUUGAAAGCCACUGUUCCUAAAGCACCUCUUGGAGAGAUAUGAAGCAAUUUCCCCCCUUUAUUUUGGUUAUGUGAAUACAUUCCAUUGCUGUUUUAUGAUUUACGAGCUAGGUAUUAUGUGGAACUUUUUAUUCAUUCUGAGCCUAUGUAACUGCAGCUACAAAAUGGCGAUAUCAUCAGAAUCUACCUGCUACAGUUGUUUGAGAAUUAAAUAGAAUAAUAUAUGUAGUGCUUAGCAAAAUGCUGGGACAUAGAAAGUGCUCAGUAAGUGUUAGCAGUAAUAAUCUUUAUCAUCACCAUCAUUAUUCACUUAAACUCAGGUUAGCCAAAAAUAUACUCAUUUUUAAAUAAGUUUUAUGUUUGAAGAUAGCUUAUAACUUCUGAUUAUUAACUUUAUAUAAUUAUCACUACUGUCUAACUUGAAAAUGUACAAAAAUUUCAACGUCCUCCAAAUUUGCUUGGUAAGGGAGUCACAUAUACAGAAGGGGAAUUUUUUUAAUUAUUUCAAAUUUUUAAAAAUAGCUCAGUUUAAUUUUCAGGCACAAUAAUGUUUAAUUUAUGAAAAAUCGAAAAAAUCUCAAUGAUUAAAAUUUAUUGAUAAUCAUUUUGCAUGAAGCAUUUAAUCUAAUCUUUACUAUGCCAAAAUAGAGUCAUCGAUGUUUUUAAUUUUUGCUUAUUCAAAAAAAAAAACAUAGAACAUUUGUAUACCAAUGUGGAAUGCUUAAGAAAUGUGCCACUCCGAGCAAAUUGGAAACAAUGAUUGGGAACCUCAAAUUCAUCUUGUUUGCUACAUUUUAGGGCAGCAGAUUCUCCAGCUUUAUUGAGAAAUGUUCAGAGAGGGAAUGGAAAGUGUUUUGAAAUCAGAAGAAGACGUGCGUCAGUGCUUAUCUGCCACGGCAUGGAGACCUCCCUCGGUUUAAAGGCCAGCCAAGCGUUGUCUUUGGAGCUUAACUAUGUAACCCAAUGACAUAAACGGGAGUGCCAGGCUGAAAUCCUUCCAGACUUGGAUACAUCAUGUGCUGAAUUUUUUAGACCUAGAUAUAAAAAUAGUUUCCAGGCUUAGAAUCAGACGUAAUAAGGAUGAAAUACCUCCAUAAAUUAAGUUUUCUAAAAGCUUCAAACGUAAUUGAAUUCGGGUAAGUCCUGCUAUAAUAAACAAGUCAAUUUUCCCAGGGUCCUGUGUAGAAAUAUGUUUCAAAGUGGUUCACACUUUCAGAAGUUCUUCCAUGGCCUUUGCUUCCCUAAGGGUAUUUUGUCUGAGAUAUUCUCUGAAGGCAGAUUCUAAGACAAAGGUUUUUGUAAUCAUUAGUUGAUUCAUGGAUUGCUGUAAAACAAGAAGCAAGUGAUUCCAGGAGCAAGAAGAAGCGGUCGAGGGUUAGAACAGGAAGGAGAAGCAACCCAAGGGACGGCGUCGGCCACACUCAGUUCUGUGGUUCCUUCUAAAGAGACAUCUGGUCUGUGUUUCAGAUAAGACCAAUAAGGUAUCAAAAGAGGGGACACCUAUUCCUUCACUUCUGCCUCGUCAAGAGAGGCCUCACCGAUCCUCCCCUGCACUUUGGAAUGGUGCAUUCAUAUUUAGACUGCUGGUGCAGGUGCAUCAAAGCCAAAACCAAAUAUACAGGAAAAAAAAAUAACAGUAGGAACUGAAAGAUAGUAACACAGGCCUGAGUUGAGCACUGUCAGGUUGCACCUGUGGGAAGCUGGCUGACACCGUCAGAGAACCAUUCAGCACAGCAGUUCUGGGGUGGGACGUGGAGAGAACGUGAAGUAGAGCUCAGUGUCUGCUGCCAUUCAUUCCUGUCACCAUUCGGUCUCUUUCAUUCCCUUCCCAGUGUCCCUUUCAAGGUAGUAGCCAAACUUGCAAGGACUUAAUAAAAGUGGGUGAGUUCAAUGAACUGCAGUCUUCACUGCUGUAGCUAGUCCUAAAGCCAUCAUCAGUAUCUUCUCUCCCCCAAGACCCAUUUUGAAUUUCCCUUAUACGUGGCUAGUAAUGGUUGUGUGCCUGGUGGAGUGACCCUAGACUUUAUCCUCAGGGUUCAGAAUAAAACCCGCAUUGUGGAAGACUACGUGCCAACCUUACAGGGUGCUGUACCUGAGCUGGUGCCUUUGCCAAGCCUUUCUCCUAUCCUGUUCUACAGCCAGCCACUCUGCUCAGGCGAACUACUUCUGGGUGAUGAGGAUUAUGUGGUGUUUUGAAGAGAAACUGAAUUCUCCCCAUCAAGAUCUGAGGUCUAAAGCUUCUUCCUUUUGAACCUGGACCAGCUUUAGUGACUCUUAAUAUUAACCGAAUGUAGUAGAUGGGAGCUGUAUAACUCCAAGGCUGGAUCAGAAGAGACCACGAAGCUUCCACCUGGCUGUCUUGGAAAGCUCACUCUGACGGAAGUCAGAAACCAUGCAAUAAGUCUGAUUAUCCUGCAACCAGUAUGCUGGAGAAGAUAAAAGCAGACGCCCUAGCCAACAGCCCAGCUAAGCCAUCAGCCUGUAAUCGACUCCAAGGGUCAGCACUUGAGAGCCGUCUUCGACAGCCAGCCCAUUCAGACUUUCCUAUGACUGUAUCCCAGCCAAUGUCUGAGUGCACCCAUAUCAGAGCCAAGCAUUCCUCAAAUUUCUAAUCUAUAAAAUGAGAAGCAAAGUGAAAUGUUUGUUUCUAGAAUUUUGGGGUUAAUUGUUAGACAGUCAUAAUAACCGAUUAGUGUGUGCCAAGUUCUCUGCUCUGUGCAUUAUUUCAAUUGACUCCUUUAAUACUGACACUGAUGCAAAGUUAAGUGUCAUUUCAUUUUAGAGAUGAGGGGUUGGAAGUGGCCAUUGAGAAGACGUGAUUGCUGGUUGACCCACAAGUUGCACCUGGGCAAUCGGGGGCUCCUCACCCCCUCCCCUAUCCUCAGAAUGUGUGUUCUGCCCAUCAUUCCCAUGGUGGAAGCCGUUUUCAAGGAUGGACCCUUGAGAGAGUGAUGUGUUGUUAAGACCAUCUGGACAGGGUAUGUGACUGAAGCCCUUUUAGGCCUCUAUAUAAAUUUUCAAGAUUCUGGCAGGUGGGUGUGGAAACUGACUCUUCUUAUGGCUGCCAGGGAUGAGUUUUGCACAUAAGUCCCCUUGCUUAUUAAACCUACCAAUCCAGAGUGCUCUGCCUCUUCCUUGGGUCUCUCUCUGUCUUCCACAGAUGGGGGCCAGUUUCAAAUUUCACCGGGGGAAAUCCAGUGGUUACAAGCCAAGAUGACGAAAGUGAGCUUCAAAGAGGUUAACCUUCUCUUCAUGGCAUGCAGCUAAGAAGAGGCAGAGCUGAAACUCAAACCCAAGUCUGCCUGACUAACUGUAACCUGAACAAUAAGAUCUAAAGAAUCUUAUAUUUGUAGAGUAAAGACUACUCUUUAAGCAAAAAAAAAAAAAAAA